GUGCAUGGUUCAGCAGCACAUUUAUUAAAAUUGGAAUAACCAAGAGAAGACUAGCACAGUCCCUGAACAAAGAUGACAGGCACAUCCAUGAAAUGGUCUAUAUUCUC
rnacentral:snRNA from 1 species